rnacentral:rRNA from 1 species
GAUGAACGCUGGCGGCGUGCCUAAUACAUGCAAGUCGAGCGAACAGAUGAGGAGCUUGCUCCUCUGACGUUAGCGGCGGACGGGUGAGUAACACGUGGAUAACCUACCUAUAAGACUGGGAUAACUUCGGGAAACCGGAGCUAAUACCGGAUAAUAUAUUGAACCGCAUGGUUCAAUAGUGAAAGACGGUUUUGCUGUCACUUAUAGAUGGAUCCGCGCCGCAUUAGCUAGUUGGUAAGGUAACGGCUUACCAAGGCAACGAUACGUAGCCGACCUGAGAGGGUGAUCGGCCACACUGGAACUGAGACACGGUCCAGACUCCUACGGGAGGGAGCAGUAGGGAAUCUUCCGCAAUGGGCGAAAGCCUGACGGAGCAACGCCGCGUGAGUGAUGAAGGUCUUCGGAUCGUAAAACUCUGUUAUUAGGGAAGAACAAAUGUGUAAGUAACUAUGCACGUCUUGACGGUACCUAAUCAGAAAGCCACGGCUAACUACGUG